UCUUAGUGUUUUGCACUAUAACAAAACAUGUAUUAUAUGUGAAAUCGGUACAUAGAUAUUCAAUCUACACCAUAUCCAUCUUUUCAAAGGAGCUUUAUAAGUUUUUCAAGUCGAUUAACGCCAACUUUGUUUUAAUAAAUUGAUUUCUUUAGUAGACCAAUUAUUUGUUAGGUCAGACCAUACCCAACCAUCUAUACUUAUAAAGAAUGUGUAAGGACUCUCAGAAAUGAGUUGGAAGGAAGACCAUGCCGUUUUGAAAAUCCAUACUCUGCUGAAAGUAACAAUUGCAUCUAAACAAUCUCUUGGUGCUGACAGAAUAACGCACUUUUCGUCAACGAAGGUCUUUAACUCUCCAAACAACAAGAUUUUAACUUAAGUAGGUCUGUUUAAGAAAUUCGAUGGACCAAGUACAUUGUUGAUAUGUGGACCAGAAGCCACAGCAACAGUAAUAGAAAUAUUUGAAUAAACAAUGCGAAAGAGCAAGUUUAUCUGCGACCUCAUUUGCUGAAAUUCAUCCUUCUGCAUUCUUCCGCUUUGGAGGAAAUGAAAAAUUUACUUGGAGAAUGUACAAAAGGAGUUAGAUUCUUUACUCUUCUGCAGAUUCAUUCAAAGGAUCGCUCAAUUAUGACGAUCCCAAAGUAAAAUAUUUUGGUACUGUAUGCUGAAAAAAAAUAAAAUAAAACUGAUCAAGAAUGAAGUUGUAAUAGAGAAAAUAAUAGAAUACAAGACUCUUAUAAGACCUAGCUCUUGAAUUCAUCAAGACUUACGUAAUCGAAUACGCAAAUCAAGUUAACAAACAAAAAAAAAGAAUGCGAUAUUGGUGAAGUGUUUUGUGGCUAAAUGUUCGCUUCCGAACAUUAAUGGAAAAUUCCGAAAAUUAGUGGAAAAGCAAGUUUUAAAAGGAUUUACUUGUUGAUACUAUCUUAAAAACCCAAUAAAGGCUAUUUAGUUCAUUUUCACAACGUUUUUGUAAAUCCAAGUCCAUUGGAAAUAUUUUAUGUGCGGCGUCCAUGGCCUCUUCGUUGGAUUGAAGUACCUCCAGUCCCACAAACUUCAUUUUCC